AUUUUUAUUGCCUCCAGGAUUACUGAAGGUAGAAAUUGCUUGGAAGUGGACCUUAUUCAUGUAUGAGAAAGAUCUUUCAAGAGAUGUGAGUACUAAAAGCGAGAGAAAUUUAUUGGGCCAUGUCGACUAAGCCCAGUAAGCUGAAUUUAUUGGAUCCGAAUCAUGGCUCCAAGAUCCGAAUGUAGAUCCGCGUGUAAUUGUCUGCAAAUUAUCCAUUAUGCCCUUUGACGAAAUCUGUAAUGUAAUCGUAGGUUGUAAAUUUUCCAAUGGCAAUUUUAGUAAUUUUUUACACUUUAUAAGGUUAUUUAAGUUAGAAUGAUUCCCAAUUAAUAGUAUA